rnacentral:rRNA from 1 species
UUAAUUUAUUAAUUAUUAUUUUUUGUAAGAAUUUUUUGUUUUAUUAUUUUCAAGAAAGAAUUUUUUUUUAUUAUAGUUUAUUAUGUACUGUGAGGGGAAUUUUUAAAGUUUUUAAAAGAAAAUUUAAUUUAUUGUACCUUUUGUAUCAGGGUUUAUUAAUUAAUUUUAUUUAUUUAUUUUUCUCGAAUUUUAAGGGGCUAGUUAUUAAUUUAUUUUAUUGUUAAAUAAAUAUUUUCAAUUUAUAGCUUGAAACGAAACAUUAUUCGUCUUGGAAUAUAUCUAGUUUCCUAGGAAUUAGAUUCAAUCUAUUUAAUUGAAGGGUUAUUAUUAAUUUAUAUUUUUCUUUUUGAUUAUUAAAUAUUUAAAGGGAUUAGCUUUUAAUUUUUUUAUAAUUUUUUAUUUUUUUUUUUAUUAUGUAGGAUUAGAAUUUUUCUUCAUUUGAAUUAUGUUUUAAUUUAAUAAUUUGUGUUAUUAUUUCUUUUUAUUUAAAAUUUUACUUGGAUUUUUUGAUUAAUUUAUAAUUUUUAGUAAAAAUGAUAAAAUUAGUAAUAAUAUUUGUAUUUAUUUAUUUUAUUUUAAUUUAAAUUAAGGAAUUCGGCAAUUAUAUUUUUCGCCUGUUUAAUAAAAACAUGUCCUUUUGAUUAUUAUUUAAGGUCUUGCCUGCCCACUGAUUUAUUGAAGGGCCGCAGUAUUCUGACUGUGCAAAGGUAGCAUAAUAAUUAGUUUCUUUAUUGGGAGCUGGUAUGAAUGGUAGGACGAGAGAAUUACUGUCUUUAUUUGAAUUUUAUUGAAUUUAACUUUUUAGUUAAAAGGCUGAUAUGUUAAUAAAAGACGAGAAGACCCUAUAGAGUUUUAUAGGAUUAGAUUUAUUUUAUUUAAGGGAUUGAAUUUAUUUAAAUUAUGUCUUAUUUAGUUGGGGUGAUUGGAAAAUUGUUAAAACUUUUCUUUUUUUAUAACAUUUAUUUAUGAGUAUUUGAUCCUUGGUUUGAGAUUAUAAGAUUAAAUUACCUUAGGGAUAACAGCGUAAUUCUUUUUUAGAGUUCAUAUCGAAAUUAGAGUUUGCGACCUCGAUGUUGGAUUAAAAUUUACUUUUGGUGCAGAAGCUUUAAAGUUAAGUCUGUUCGACUUUUAAAAUUUUACAUGAUCUGAGUUUAGACCGGCGUGAGCCAGGUUGGUUUCUAUCUUUAUUUUAUUAAUAUAUUUUAGUACGAAAGGACCAUUUAUAUAUAUAAUAUAUUUAUUUUUGA